CAUGCAGGGGAGUCAGAGCCAAGGUGGAUGAGGCUGGGAUAUCUACAUGCUUGGUGGGGAGUUGGAGCCAAGGUGGAGGAGGCUGGGAUAUCUACAUGCUUGGUGGGGAGUUGGAGUCAGGGUGGAUGAGGCUGGGAUAUCUACAUGCUUGGUGGGGAGUUGGAUCCAAGGUGGAUGAGGCUGGGAUAUCUACAUGCUUGGUGGGGAGUUGGAGUCAGGGUGGUUGAGGCUGGGAUAUCUACAUGCUUGGUGGGGAGUUGGAGUCAGGGUGGAUGAGGCUGGGAUAUCUACAUGCUUGGUGGGGAGUUGGAGUCAGGGUGGUUGAGGCUGGGAUAUCUACAUGCUUGUUGGGGAAGAGGAGCCAAAGAUGUGGAUUUCCUCUGUCUCCACAUCCUUGGGCAAGGACUGGUGAUCAGCUGCUGCUGUCUUAUUUUAUUUGCUUC
rnacentral:lncRNA from 1 species